rnacentral:rRNA from 1 species
UACGUAGGAUGCAAGCGUUGUCCGGAUUUAUUGGGUUUAAAGGGUGCGUAGGCGGCAUAUUAAGUUCGUGGUGAAAACGUUCGUUUUAACCGGACACCCGCCAUUGAUACUGAUAGACUUGAGUGCGACAGAGGGUGUUGGAAUGUGUGGUGUAGCGGUGAAAUGCUUAGAUAUCACGCAGAACACCAAUUGCGAAGGCAGAUGCCUAUGUCGUAACUGACGCUGAGGCACGAAAGCGUGGGGAGCAAACAGG